GCGGAGGGAUCAUUACAGAGUUGAAAAACUCCCAAAACCACUGUGGACUAUACCAGUUUUGUUGCUUCGGUGGGUGGCCCCAGGGCGGGGCCGCCGCCUCCUUCGGGAGGCACCUGCCGCAAGCCCCUAAAACUCUUUUGAAUUUUGGUUACAUCUCUGAGUUAGCAUACAAAACGCGAAAAAACUUUCAACAACGGAUCUCUUGGCUCUAGCAUCGAUGAAGAACGCAGCGAAAUGCGAUAAGUAAUGUGAAUUGCAGAAUUCAGUGAAUCAUCGAAUCUUUGAACGCACAUUGCGCCCGCCAGCAAUCUGGCGGGCAUGCCUGUUCGAGCGUCAUUUCAACCCUCAAGCUCUGCUUGGUGUUGGGGCGCCACGGGGCUUAGGCACCGUGGGCUCUUAAAGUCAGUGGCGGACUCUCUGUGUGUCCGGGCGUAGUAGAGAUAUGUCGCCUGUGGACGCGCUGGGAGAUCCAGCCGUAAAACCCUUACUGCUGUAAAUACAGAAGGUUGACCUCGGAUCAGGUAGGACUACCCGCUGAACUUAAGCAUAUCAAUAAGCGGAGGAAAAGAAACCAACAGGGAUUGCCUCAGUAACGGCGAGUGAAGCGGCAACAGCUCGAAUUUGAAAUCUGGCCCUUCCGGGUCCGAAUUGUAAUCUGUAGAGGACGCUUUUGGCGCGGUGCCUUCCGAGUUCCCUGGAACGGGACGCCACAGAGGGUGAGAGCCCCGUAUGGUCGGACACCAAGCCUCUAUAAAGCUCCUUCGACGAGUCGAGUAGCUUGGGAAUGCUGCUCUAAAUGGGAGGUAAACUUCUUCUAAAGCUAAAUACCGGCUAGAGACCGAUAGCGCACAAGUAGAGUGAUCGAAAGAUGAAAAGCACUUUGAAAAGAGGGUUAAACAGUACGUGAAAUUGUUGAAAGGGAAGCGCUUGUGACCAGACUUGCGCCGGGCUGAUCAUCCAGCGGUUUCCGCUGGUGCACUCGGCCCGGCUCAGGCCAGCGUCGGUUGUCGUGGGGGGACAAAAGCUCUGGGAAUGUGGCUCCCUCCGGGGAGUGUUAUAGCCCUAUGCAGAAUAUCCCCGCGGCGACCGAGGUCCGCGCCCUGCAA
rnacentral:misc_RNA from 1 species